UACGUAGGGUGCAAGCGUUAAUCGGAAUUACUGGGCGUAAAGCGUGCGCAGGCGGUGAUGUAAGACAGUUGUGAAAUCCCCGGGCUCAACCUGGGAACUGCAUCUGUGACUGCAUCGCUGGAGUGCGGCAGAGGGGGAUGGAAUUCCGCGUGUAGCAGUGAAAUGCGUAGAUAUGCGGAGGAACACCGAUGGCGAAGGCAAUCCCCUGGGCCUGCACUGACGCUCAGUGCACGAAAGCGUGGGGAGCAAACAG
rnacentral:rRNA from 1 species